UACGAAGGGGGCUAGCGUUGCUCGGAAUCACUGGGCGUAAAGCGCACGUAGGCGGCUUUCUAAGUCAGGGGUGAAAUCCUGGAGCUCAACUCCAGAACUGCCUUUGAUACUGUGAAUCUCGAGUCCGGGAGAGGUGAGUGGAACUGCGAGUGUAGAGGUGAAAUUCGUAGAUAUUCGCAAGAACACCAGUGGCGAAGGCGGCUCACUGGCCCGGUACUGACGCUGAGGUGCGAAAGCGUGGGGAGCAAACAGG
rnacentral:rRNA from 1 species